rnacentral:rRNA from 1 species
AAUUGGAGGCCAGUGAAUGGCAAGACUAGGAACACCUUUACCUUUUAUACCAAAAAAACUUUUCAUCUAAGUGAAAAGACUUAGAUAAUAUAGGAAGACGAAAAGACCCCGCGGAACUUUACUCCUUAUUAUACCAACACCCAAAAGCACAAGGUAUCAAGAGUUUGAUUGGGGCAAUCUCGGAACCAACAAGCUUCCGAUUAUCUUAAUAACAUAUCCAAAAUUUGGUAUAGACAAAACAGAAGUUACCCCGGGGAUAACAGCGUUAUCCAACUUAAGAGUACACAUCGAAAGUUGGGUUUGCGACCUCGAUGUUG